rnacentral:tRNA from 1 species
GGGGAUGUAGCUCAGUUGGUAGAGUGCUUGCCUUGCAUGCACGAGGCCCUGGGUUCAUUCCCUAGCACCACCA